AUGGAUGUCCAUACUCCAUCUCUGUUUUAUGCUACUUAUUUUUCGGUUUUAGCUUUCGUGAAUGUUCACACUUCUCUAAAGGAUUCGAGAGGGGGAAGUUAUUUGUUGUUACGAGCUGAUGGAAGUUGUUUGUUGUUCUGCUAUAGGUGUGUUCGAUAUGUUGCACGUUGUUGUUGUUUCAAAUCGCUUGAGUUGUGUCGAAUAUCAAAUGAAUUUGUGUUCGAACAUCGAUUACAGGUGCAUAAUUGUGGUUACGGUUUAGAUCUUUGGAUUUGA